rnacentral:sRNA from 1 species
GGUUGUGUAGAUGUUAACACAUGAUGCCGAAUCGGUUCAAGGCGAUGCCUCUUCGGAGGACGGAGCGCUCACCAUUGGACC